rnacentral:lncRNA from 1 species
CACUCAGUUCUGGGUGAGAAGACACAGAAUGGACUCACAAUUGCUGAUGUAUAGGUUCUAAUGUUUUCUAUUGUGGACACGGGACACCCAGACUGAGAACCAAUGGCUCCAGUCUGAUUUAAACAUGGGUCCGUGCUCACACACUCAAUACCUACCCUCUGUGCUCACAAGUCCUGUGUGAGUAAGACUCCAAAUUAUUCUGUCUUGUUUUACUCAAUGGUAUGCUCUACCUUAUUAUAGAGUAUACCAUGUAUUGAGACAAGAAUGCCAGUCAUUCUGAGAAACAAAAUGCAACCAUUAGUUGUCAUUUUAAUUAGUGACGAAUAGUUGUGUCAAUCAUCAAACAUGCUUGUAUAAUUGGAUGAGAAGAGGUGUAACACGGGCCAAUGAUGACGAGGUUUCGGGAUUAUAAGUCACGGACGAUGACUACGUCACUAGAGGUCUGAGGUCCAUAGCAGAAGAUGCCUCAUGUGACCCUCUCAUGCAGGGGUUGCAUGUCAGGCAUGUGCAUACAGUAGAUAUUAGCCAUGCACUCUCACCAUUUCAUAGUAGAUCACAGAAUCAAGAUACAAAUCUCCAUGCACGGAAAGGAUUUAAGGCAUUGAUCAAUCCUGAACAUAAAUAUUUGGCCAUCAAUGAUAUUUACGCACACACUGAAAAAUCUAUUCAGAAUGACUUACACAAAGGUUUAUAUAACCUUUAUCAAAGGUAAUUUAUAUAGUAAGAUUCAUGGCUGAAGUCUUCAUGAUGGUCAAGGCCUUAAUUUUUAAAAUUAUCAAUUUUUUUCUUUUCUUUUUUUUUAACUUGAAUUUUUUUUUAAUGAAAACUAUCAUGACAAUUUGUCUCUUAAAUGAAAGGAGAAAUGUAAAACUAAAUGGACAAAUAUCAACCUUUUUAUUAUCUUUGCUGUUGUGCCCUCCCUGGAUGGGUGCUGGCACAUGAUGUCUUGCCUGCUGGUCCGUGGUUGCACUCUCACCAUGUGGAUGGAGCUCGGCAGCUGAAAAUGCAUUCUUCCACCAAGAUGAUUUACACAGCCUAGCUGGAUCAGGAGCCCCCUAAUAAGCUGCUUCAGAUUGUAAUAUAGACACAGUAAUGUAUGCCUGCAGGAUGAGUCCCACCUUCUUCAUUAGUCUUGAGGUUUGAGAUUCCCUGUUUGUGUCUGCAGGAUUCAGAUAGUAAUGGAUAUCCUGCAAGUCGGCUUCGUAGAGUCUCCCUUGAAAGUGGACCUCAUGAUCUAGCCUUUAUGUCCGUGGAUUGACACUGUGAUGGAUUCCCCCCAAGUUCAUUUAGAUAUUCUCUCUUAUUCAUAAAUGUCACGGUCAGCUCUGUUCUUAUAGAUACCAGAAUGGAUACCCCUAAGCUGAUGUAUAUACACCCUUCCUCGGUUGUGAGAUUCCUGCUCUGGUGGUUGUAGUCAUAAGAUAUACAUCGUUGCGUACACCUUGGUUGUGGGCACGCACACUACUGUUGAAUUACCACCUUGUCCAAGUGGAUGGAUGCCCUCAAUGGGAUUGGCACUUUCUCCAUUGCUCCUGCACUCUGUUAUCAGCACUUCGGGUUCAUAAUGUACACACAGCAAUGGAUUUUCUGCAGCUGAUUUUCUAUAUUCUGUUUUCUUCGGAACAGAUGCCUUCCUCACUGGUCACCAGGUUCAAGGUCCCUCAUAUGUGUCAGGUGCAUAGUCACCAACAAAGGCCAACUUCACAUCAAUGGGUGGAUCGUACCUCGGCCUAAGCUCCAGGAUUGAUUGUGCUGUUAGAGUCACAGCUACAACCGGCUCAGGGAACCCAGUGGAAGAGGAGGUGGAGUGUGAGAGCCAAUUGGAAUGGAAGACAGUGAGGAAACAAGGCCUUCGAGACACAAGAGGACUGCUGAGCUCACAAAGACUGAGGCAGCACCCUCAGGACCUGCACAGGUCUAAGCUUGAUGCGAUCUGAGUACUGAGAGGGCAACUGGACACAAUUCUAUAUUGAUAACCCAGAAGCUUUCUCCAGUUGAUAAACUCUUUCAAAGGAAAAACUUGUUUUCUACCAUGGAGUGACACUGGAUAUAGAAACUACCGUUAACAGCAGACUCCAUGGCUCAGACUUCCAAUACAAUAUGAACUCAGUUGCAAUUUUUUGCAAGGUUUUUCGACUCAUAGUUCUUUGUCUGGGUACUUUUUCACCCUACAGAGAAUUUCUGUAUAUAUUAUCGUUUCUGAUUCUAGUGUUUUGAAUUUUCGCUGGGUCUAAAUAUCUCUGUCUCAGUGUCAGUAUGUGUUUCUCAUGAUUUUUCUUUGCUUCUCUUUUUCCUAUUCUUUGCUUGUAUUCCCUGGUUUGUGUUUGAGUGUCUGGGAACUCUGAGGGUCUGGUUGGUGAUAUUGUUGUUCUUCCUAUGGGGUUGAAAACCCCUUCAGCUCCUUCAGCCUUUCACUAAGUCCUCCAUUAUUAUGAUUCCUAUGCUCAGUCCAGUGGUUGGAUGUGAGCCCCCCCCCCCCUCUGCAUUUGUCAGGCUCCGGCAGAGCCUCUAAGGAGAUAGCUAUAUUAGGCUCUUGUCAGCUUUGUUUGUUUUUAUUCUGUCUUCUCUAUACUGUUUAUUUUAGAUAACUGUGUUUAUUCUAAUGUAUGAAUGAAUAAAUGGGUGUGUGUUUGGGUGGGUGGGGAAUUGGGGAGGGUGGGGGUGGAUGUGGGAGGGGAAACUGUAACACAAAUACAUUGUAUAAAAGUACAUUUUAAUAAAUGUAUUUCUUCUAUGACUAAAAAAA